rnacentral:misc_RNA from 1 species
GGAGAAUUGUAUCUUUCAUUAGCAUGUCAUUAAGUCAAUAUCCAUCUUUUUUUUUUGCAAUUAUUAGUGUAAAAAUGUCCUAUUCAUCAUUUAUAUUACAUAUGAAAUGGAUGACGGCACAAAAAUAUCUAACAAGCGCUGUUAGUUCAUCUUUCGGCCUAAAGAGAUAUAUAAUACACUAUCUGUGCUAAGUAAGCAAAAAGAACAAAACAUUACCGCCUGUCCCUGUUUUCAGGUCACGAAGGACUCAAAAACAGCCUUCAUUUCUCAGCCAGUUUGGAUUCCUUGCACAAUACCCUCAAAUUUCACUGCAAUUGGCUUCAGAAAGUGAGGCGCUUGUUUGCAGCCAAUGAAGCCCUAUUGGGAGGUACCAGGAGAUGCAAUUAAAUACUAGCUAACCCACACUUGGCUGCAUCACAGGAAAGAACCAAUUCUUGGUAACUCCAUCUUCCUUCCCAACGUCACUUUCACUUCCAUUGGCCCACCAGUCUGGACCAGUAUUAGGCUUAUGAGAAUCUACUCCAUCAGCAUUAUCAAAGUUGAAUUCUUUGAGAGAUCCAAGAGUUAUGGACCGAUGUUUCUGAUGUUGUGUUACCUUUUCCUCACCUGUUGAAGCUUUCUCUCGGGUGUCAUUAGAUGUUUUGACAACACGGGACUCAAAAUUGUUGACUAUUUCAGUGGAAUUUUCUUCUCUACCAGCUGCUAUUCCAUUUUCCAUGGAAUCUGGAAUGACUUUCACAGGGGAUGAUGGCUUCUGUUCCACACAUCUCAAAACAUCUUCAUCAGUUAAUUCAAAUGAGACUCUACGAACGGCAACUUCAUCAUUCUGCUUGCCAUUGUCUGAAUGUGAAUGUGAUAUGAAAUCAGAAAAUUGACAAUCCAGAGGAAAGCUGCAAGAUGUGGGCCUUGCAGCAUCUGGGGUCAAAGUUCCUGAACCUUGGCGCGAUCCCCAUUCAUGAGUGGAAAGCUUAUCAAGGUUCAAGAGUUUUGGAGGGUUAGCCAUUCGGAAAUCAAGAAAGUGAGCGCCACCAGCAGCAAACUCUCCAUCGGGGAACGGAGAUGACGUGCCUGAUCCAGAUAUGCCUGAGCUAGGUGAAAUAAGCUGGCCAACUGGGCUUCCAGGAUAAAGUUGGUAACACUGAAAUUCAUAGUUUGAUAGUGGGAACCGCAGACCAGCCUCGCCAUUCCUGACGCUGGGGUCAAGUAGCUGAGCAAAAGGUACCUCAGGUGAGGAAGGUGUAGUCAAGUGUACAGACUCAGGAGGCGGAGUGAAAGGAGCAGUUGAUGGUUCAGUUGUGAAAGUUGAGAAUACAGGUGGUGAGACUAACUGGGUUUCAUGGGCAUAAGGACCUAUAGCAAAAAUGGAGGCAGGCCCAAUAGGAGAGUAAAUAUUGGCGGAUAUAGAGGUGAGUGACAGCACACCAGCUGGUGACUGUGAAGCAGAAGGAGGUUCUGAUUGAAGGAAAGAUGCAGGAGAUGAGGGAGGUGCAACAAAGGGAAGUGUGAUUGGAGGUGCUUGGGUUCGAUUUUCAGCUACAGAAGAAUCAUUUCCAGGAGCAGAUGUUUCAGGAACAAGGACUGCAUGCCCAAUUCUCUUUCUGUGUCUCUGAUAUCCAAAGCACCAGUAUACAUUCCACCAGCUUCCCCAUCUUUUCUUCUGAACCGUAGCUUGAGGAACACGAUUCUCAGCGGAAGCGAUCGCUGAGGCGGCAGCGUUUAUGGUAUCGAGAACGUUGUUAGAAGGUCUGGAAUCUCCACUAAAAGCUCUCAUCUGAGUUGUAUAUCGAGGAAACGCAGGAUUUUCUCGCGAAAAUGAAAUGAAAAAAGGAAAUCUGAGUUUUGUUUUUGAGCGAAAUUCAUUAAAAAUAUAUAAUUAAAAUUAUACACAAGGUUAUAUAAAUGUAAGACAGGGC